rnacentral:rRNA from 1 species
UACGAAGGGGCGAGCGUUGUUCGGAUUCAUUGGGCGUAAAGGGUGCGUAGGCGGCGCGGUAAGUCGGGUGUGAAAUCUCGGAGCUUACUCCGAAACUGCAUUCGAUACUGCCGUGCUUGAGGACUGGAGAGGAGACUGGAAUUUACGGUGUAGCGGUGAAAUGCGUAGAUAUCGUAAGGAAGACCAGUGGCGAAGGCGGGUCUCUGGACAGUUCCUGACGCUGAGGCACGAAGGUCAGGGAGCAAACGGG